GCUAACUAACAGGCUUUGGUAAGGGACAAUUGUAAUGGGCAUGGGCCGUAAGCAACAGACACUUGGCCCAAAAAGAGUCGUAAAACGAAUACGACGCCGUAGGAGAGAAAAUCGCCGGCCUUAGUGCAGUGCGGUGGUAGAAAACCGAAAUAACCAAUUUCAGAGUGUUUGUGCAAUGGCUUCUAACAGUGAUGACAAGGAAGCAGCACCAAAGAAGACCUCAUUCUGCCAGAGGAACAAGUCUCGGAAUGGAAGCUUCGUCUCUACUCUUCGAAAUCACUUCCAUGAAUUUAUCCAUGCUCCCAUGGAUCAAAACAAGACAUGCUUGGCAGACACUUUUCAAAAGAUGAUGAAUGCAUCAAAGAAUUUCAGAAAGGAGGGUGACAGCCAAAAAUGAACCCUUCCAUCAUCUAACAGGAGUUAGAUGACUUUCUACUUUCUUCAAUCAUCACCAGAUCCAUUCUCUACUAAAAACGUUUCUGUUCUGGUUUUACUCAUGUGAGGUGGGGAUUUAUAUUUUAUAGCGGGUCCAACUAGAGACAAGUGGGUGACCAAAUGAUCAAUAAUCAGUUCUCGGGAGUAGUUUCAAAACUUGUAACAGUAAUUAGUGCAGUCAUACUUCUAGGAAAGUUGAAGUUUUCAGCAAGAUAGGAACAAAUGAAGAAUCACUUGAAGAAUCUACUUAUGGACUCAGUUACCUCUGCUCUGCAUUGCUGAUGUUUACUCUGCUACAUCCAGCAUUCCUCUUGUAAGCAGGGAGUGGAACCUUGCCUGACUCAAUGUCUUUGAUGUCCUCUAGUAGCAUCUCAUAUCGUCUCUUGACUUCCACUUCAUUUGUUCCUCCAACAAACAUGGCUAUCUUGUACCAACGAUCUGUGGUUUCUUCAUCGUAUAUCGCCAAGGCAUUUUCAAACAGUUUGUUCUGCUUGGUUGUCCACCUUGAGUUGGGAGAGGAGAGUGUGUUUGAUGCCAUUGCAACAAAAGCCAGAAGAGAAUAUGAGAUGGGAAAAGAUGAAGUAAUCCUUCACCUUAAGGCAAGUAGCUACUAAAAUAUAAGAAUCUUUGACUGCUAAAAAUGGGUGUGAGAGAGAGAGAGCAAUAGGUAGAAAGACAAGUGGGGAACCCAAUGGAGUAGGAAGCUGUUGAUGUGAAUAUUAUAGGACACUGGAUUCGAAGCUGGACACGGCAAAACAAGUAAUUGGUGCAUCAUUUGAACUGUUUAUGGAAAGUUUACAACUAGUCAAACACAGUACAUGUUAUAAAUGCUAUGCUUAUAUAAUAUGAUGCUACAUGCAGAUGGUUGAUAAAUGAGAAGAGGUUAUUUCUGAAGAUUAGUAAGUUGCUUCCUUUUCAAGUCUUCUCAUGUUCCUAAGAAAGCAGCAAGAAGGGUUUUAGUCCCAAUAUCCCAGAUUUGUUAUUGUUGUUUAAUGUCAUGUGAUCUCUGAAGCACAAACUAUCAUAAAAAUGAUGGAGACAAUGAACUGAUAGUGGCGUUUAAAGUAUUGGAGUUGUUAAGGUGACUUUAUUUUCCUUGAUAAUUUAUAAUGUGAUAAUUACUCCUUA